rnacentral:rRNA from 1 species
CCUACGGGAGGCUGCAGUGGGGAAUAUUGGGCAAUGGGCGCAAGCCUGACCCAGCAACGCCGCGUGAAGGAAGAAGGCUUUCGGGUUGUAAACUUCUUUUCUGAGGGACGAAGAAAGUGACGGUACCUCAGGAAUAAGCCACGGCUAACUACGUGCCAGCAGCCGCGGUAAUACGUAGGUGGCAAGCGUUAUCCGGAUUUAUUGGGUGUAAAGGGCGUGUAGGCGGGAAAGCAAGUCAGAUGUGAAAACUCAGGGCUCAACCCUGAGCCUGCAUUUGAAACUGUUUUUCUUGAGUGCAGGAGGGGCAAUCGGAAUUCCUAGUGUAGCGGUGGAAUGCGUAGAUAUUAGGAGGAACACCAGUGGCGAAGGCGGAUUGCUAGACUGUAACUGACACUGAGGCACGAAAGCGUGGGGAGCAAACAGGAUUAGAUACCCGGGUAGUC